GUUGUUUGGUUUUUUUUUUUUUUUUUUUUUUGAGACAGGGUCUGGCCAUGCAGCACAGGCUGGCCUCAGAUUCAUGGUGAUCUUCCUGCCUCAGCCACCCAAGUGCUGAGCUUACAGGCAUGUGCCACUGCACUUGGCCAAAGCUACUUAUACUUUAUUUCUACAUACAUAGCAAUGAAACACUGUCAGGACAACAAUAUUCUAGAAGUUUCUUUUAGGUAUUACUUUUUUCUUUUUUUCAAGCAGAGGACAAACAGGAAGGAAAAACAGGAAUUGAAUCCCCUAGCACGCAGUCAUGUGUCUUUGUUUCUCAGAGCCUCGGUUAAAGCGAAGAGAGCUCCAGCCCAAAGGAAUUUCCCUGGAAGCCCUGAUUCAGCCAUCUCCUGAACCCCAGGGCUGUGCUUGUCUGGUUUUUGCCUUGUUCUGAAUAUGAGGCCUUCUGCCGUGCUCUGCAGGACCGCAGCCCAGGCACAGAGGCAGACAGACUCGGGAGCCAGCCAGGAGGAGUGCAAGGCACCUACCCAGGACGGACAAAUCCUUCCCGGAUUUGUGCACUGAGUUAUGAGGAGAGGUGACUGCACAGCUGAAGGGGGACAGAGGAGGUGGCCACACUGGAGAGUGCAAGAGCCUCUUCCUCCAGUGACCUGUCAGCAGCAGGUGAAGCAGGAGUGUGGGCGAAGCCCUGAGAGGAAGCACACUUGUAGGAAAGAGCCAACAAGGAGGAGAGGAGAUGAAUGAGCUCCUCAAGGUGGUAACAGAUGGAGAGAGGCAGGAAGAAGACAAGAUCAAGAUGGAGGAACGAACUUGCGAGUAGAAAGCCUGUUUCUUCCUCUGAGACUAUAGCCAGGUUUUCAGGGAGGGGAGAAAAAUGUAGGGAGUUCUUUCGGUAGUUCUAAGGGAACUUUGGGAGUGCUGAGACCAAACAGCUGCAAUGAGACUGGGAGGAAAUUAAGGUCUGGUUUCAUCAUUUGCAAAACAGUGACUGACACCUCAAGAUGAACUGCAGUAGUCUCACCAGCAGUGAGCUGCUGCUGCGUGAGCGGGAUGAGUGAUAGUUUUACUGCUAUUCAUCUCUGGAAAGAAGGAGGCAAGGUCGUCUAUGCAGGGGAAACAGGAAGGGAAUGGCUUGGGGGAGGAAGCCGGACGGGAGUGAGGCUGAGACAGCUGGAGGGCACCUCGCAGGAAAGGCCUGAGGCAGAAGGAGCAGCUCAGGCGAGAGGGCAGGAAUUCGCACAGUGAACUGGGAAGCAGGAUCUUAGCAAGACCCACGCGGGAUCCCAACAGCCCGGGGGUAGGGAUCCACAUUCACAUCGUUGAUUGACGACGGCUGCCUUAGUUUUGGGGAAACUGGUCUGAUGACGGGAGCUGCACAACUAGGCACUGCUCCCAUGCUUGGAAUUCGGAGCCCCAGUUUCUCACCCAUCAGUGCCAGACAGGUGUGGGCUGUUGUCCUAGAGCCGUGCACUGUCAGCCUUCAGUUAUGUAAGAGGCCAGGGAAGGUGUGACUAAGGAAGCAAGAGCCAGAUAGAUGGUGAAUAGUAGUUUACGAGGGAGACCUGACUAUGCAGUGGCUUUGAGAGUCUCUUUAUACAGCCAGGUGUGCUGGCACCUGCCUGUAAUCCUAGCACUCAGGAGGCCGGGGCAGAAGGAUCAUCAUGAGUGCAAGGCCAGCCUAAACUAUACAGUGACACCUUGUCUCAAACAAAAAAAACAAAAACAAAAACAAAAGUGAAGUUACCUUACACUGUAUAUCAUUUCAUUUGACAAGAAUUGUCAGUUGACAUACAGCAAAAAGAGUUUCUCAACCUCAGGACUUUGCCACUUACUUGAGGCCAUAUAAGUCUGUGUCAUAAGGAUCUGUCUUGUAUAUUGGGGGUGUUUAGGAGCACCCCUGUGUUCUACCCACUGGAUACCAGUAGCAGCCCUGUAACCAUCAUCCACUUUUAACUAUCACAAAAUGUCUCUUGCCAUUGCUAAUUUUGCCCAAGGGUAAAAUUUCCCCUAGUUGAGAAUCCUAGCAGGACAAUGAUCACUCUUAAGGAGAAACAUCCUUCUCUUCAUGUCUCAUCAUUAUUUUGAACUCAGCUCUGACGAUCUUCCCUCCCAGGUUCUCCUUCUUCCUCAUUAGCAAAUCCUAAAGCUGUUGCAUCACCUCAGGCAGGACCAAGCCAACAGACUGCAAAGCACAUUUCAGAAUUAGACUUAAACAUUGCAUGGUGCUUACUUACACAAGAAACCCUGAGUACAAAUAAAGAGAUAAACGAAAAGACGGUAGAGAGAUAUUUCUCAAAUGCCAAAGGGAUCAAGAGAUGAAGGAAGCAGAGGGAGAGAAGGGAAAGGCGAUGUGAAGGGAAUUCAGAUGUUACAUACAUGGACCAACUCUACGAAAGAAAUGAGGAAUGAAUGAAGAGGCAUUUCAUCUGGAGGAGCUCCAGCUCUGCAGAACCUGAAACCCAUGCAGUUUGCGAAGCUCUCCUGAUGAACAGUAAUGCAAAAUUAUAAACGGCGCCUGCCUGGGAGGAGGCCAAGUCAGGACUAAGCCUGGCUCCCCGGCUCCACCAGUGCAUCCAUCCCUCAUCCCAAAUUCUCUACUUCCUGUGAGCUUAAUUCUUGGUUUAAUUUUCUUCUCUAGCCUGUUCUCCUCUCCCUCCAUAUUACCUUAGAUAAUCCCCAAAGUUCAUCAAAUCGGUGUGUUUUUCGCCUGUACACAGCUAUGUAAGAUGCUAUGUCUUUUGUUUCCUUUUCCCACAAGUUGUUGAAGAUGAAACCACUGCUGUUUUCUCCAAAAGAGGUUCAAAUUUGACCUGAGACUAUGUAAAAGAAACCCUCUCAUCUUAAUUUCCC
ensembl:lincRNA